rnacentral:lncRNA from 1 species
GGUCUUCCUAAUAGUUCAUCCCUGAGUUAGACAGUCCUACCCAUCCCGGCUGCAGCGGAGCUGUGAGCCCCCACCCGCCUGGCGAGAGAACCUUUCAUGUGGCAGAGAAGAGAUGCGAACGCACGGGCGCUGCCGCCCUGUGGCAAGGUGAGCCCAAGAGGGCGGAGCUGAGCAUGCCCAGUUCCUCCUGCCAAUCUCCCUCCUCAGAUCUGCAAUCCCGGCUCGUGGGGAGCGGCGAGAAGAUGCUGUGGGGAGAGAGGCCGUGACAUCGCGCGGGUGUAAGCGUGAAGCCAGGGGACGGGGCUCCUCUGACAGAAGCCCUUAGAUAUUCCUGAGAUCGUGUUUCCUGCAAGCGACGGGGGUCCUCGCUGAGUCUCAGGCGGCCUCAUGAUGGUGUGACCUCGGGGAGGUGGAAGGCGGUGUGACCGGAAAGGGGCAGGCCGAGGAGCAGGUGUUUCAAAUCCUGGCGAGUUCAAUUUCUUCACCUGGGUGGCGGUUACGUGGGAGCGAUUUUUACAACGUCGUACUCCUGCAAAUCAAGAUGGAGCCUCUGGUUCACACUUUUCAUUUAUGUCUCCCCUUAAUGUGUGGGUUAAAGUGAAGAUGAUAUUCUGCCUAAGAACUGACAAAGGAAAACAGAGAAACGACAUUCUGAAAAUUUUUGCCUUUUUAAAAAAAAUUGUUCAGAUUCCGUGAGAAGACGUAAUAUUUUUAGCCUCUACGGAGAGGAAAAGCAGAGGCCUAGCCCCACAGUCACAGAGUGGAUCCCACUAAACCCCUAAGGAGAGUGUGUUACCCAGAUUAGGUUUCUCCACAAAGGACAAAAGGCCCUAAGUAGCAGCAUCCUCAACAACGGAGAAGCUGAAUUUCGUUCAUUUUUUUCUUCGACACGAAGAGUCUGGAGGUUGACUGUCUGUGUCUGAUAUAUGAUCACUUGCUCCACAAACUCCUCCAAGACUCGGACACCUUCUAGGUCACUGCUCUACCAUCCCUCAGGACCCUCGGGGUCCUCAAGAUCCUUUCGGGAGAUUUGUGAGAUCAAAAUAUAUGAUACUAAAAUGUUAUUUGCCUUUUUACUCUCAUUCUCUCAAGGGUGAGUAAACAGUGGAAUGUUCUAGAGGUUCCAUGAUCUCGUUGUUCUGGAGGCUCGUGGAAUAUGUGCUUGUGUGUACUUGUGUUUUAAAUUUUUCUGUUUUCAUUUCUAACACUAUAAAUAUCAAUAAAUAGAAC